AAGCCGGGCUGCUGCAGAGCAAAAUGACGCUGGUGAAGCGGUUCAUCAAGUCCCGCAGUUUUUCAAAAGAAGACUUCCAACGCCAUUUUGGACAGUGUGAUACGAGUGGGGCUCCUUUGAAGUGCUUGAGUCACCUGGAUACGCAGAUUCUGAAAAACCUCUAACAAAUGCUGACUGAACGUGGUGGAAGCAGCACCGGGAGCAUCCUGUAAAGAAGGGCCGACAGGGGGCGGGCUGGCAGGACCUAGCCGCACUGGAGAGGCGCGCGAGGGAGCGGAGGGGCGAGGACAGGGCUCCCAGAGGACAGAGACAGGCGGAUCUGAACAGGGAAUUUCCUAUUUAGAGACACACAGAUUCACAGGGAAGACUGCCAUUGUGAAGAUGGAAGCAGAAACUUGGUUUAAGCUACCACAAGCCAAGGAACACCUGGGACCACCAGGAGCUUGAGGAGGCAACGAAGGAUUCUUCCCUACAGCCUUCAGAGGGAGCAUGGCGCUACAACACCUUAAUAUCAGAUUUCUAUCCUCCAGGAAGCACCCUGUACUGUGACCACACUGAAUAUUUCACUGUGCCCCUUCAGUCCUUCAAGACUUUCAAGACCGAUGACCACUCUUCAUCCCCAAGAACUUAUAUCUUCCCUGACUCUUCCCUUUAACAUCAGCUGCUUUUCCUCAAGGGCUCUGGUUCUACCUAUACACAUACCACUUCUCAUAUGGUAUUGUAAUUUUCAGUAAAUGCAUGUAUGUUUCUGCUACUUGACU